GUUUCUUUAUUUGAAAAUUAUCUUAUAAUGGAGGAAGACGAUUUUACCAUAGAACGGCGUUCUUAGAACAGAAUCGUUACCAAACGGCCUCUUACAGUCCAAUUCUUUCCCGUAAAACCGUUCCCGCUGAAAAAUCAAAUAGAGGGAGGGUUUCUUUCUCACAACCAAAACCUCACUGCUCUACACGUCUCUUGACCUUCUCAAUCCAUCGAGGGUUUGUAUUCUCCGCUCGGCUGCUGUUGCAGGUCCUUCAUCUGCUGUAAUCGGUUGUUGUUGCUUAAAAGUUACAGGUUUUGCACCUCCAUCUCUUCGAAUCCACCAGUUCAGAUAACGGACAUGGGGCUCUGACCGAGAGAAUCAAUGAAACCAAAGGCUCUGUGAUGAUUAAUCUAACUGAAAGCAUAAGUGGUGCUUUGUUCCCACUAUUCAGGACAGUGGAAUUCAUGAUCAAAACCCAGUAGUGUAGAGGUUAGAGUCUCUCCAAGUGAACCCCCAGAGGAAAAAGGUAACCCAAGAUUCCAAAGCAAAAUCUCCUCAAAGUCACUGAGAGUUUAUUGAGAAAAAAGAUACACUAGAGGCGAGAGAGACUUGAAUUGAUGGGGAAGAAAGGUGUUGGAAUUGGAGCUCCAGAUUUUGGCUUG